UGUCGUGGCGUGGCGGCAGGUGCGGUGCCCGUGCGCACCGCCCUGCGUCUCGGGGGAAGCCCGGUGAAAUUCCGGCACUGUCGCGCAACGGUCAAAGUCCGAAUGCCCGCUUGAGGAGCGACCCGACAC
rnacentral:ncRNA from 18 species